rnacentral:rRNA from 1 species
CGCGUAGGCGGCAGGGUAGGUCGGGGGCGAAAUCCCACAGCUUAACUGUGGAAGAGCCUUCGAUACCGUCUUGCUGGAGGAGGGUAGGGGUGCGCGGAACUUCUGGUGGAGCGGUGAAAUGCGUUGAUAUCAGAAGGAACGCCGGCGGCGAAAGCGGCGCACUGGACCCUUUCUGACGCUGAGGCGCGAAAGCCAGGGGAGCAAACGGGAUUAGAUACCCCGGUAGUCCUGGCCCUAAACGAUGGGUACUAGGUCGUGGGCCAGUCAUGGGCUCACAGCCGAAGCAAAAGUGUUAAGUACCCCGCCUGGGGAGUAUGGUCGCAAGGCUGAA